rnacentral:rRNA from 1 species
UACGGGGGGAGCAAGCGUUGUUCGGAUUUACUGGGCGUAAAGGGCGCGUAGGCGGCGUGACAAGUCACUUGUGAAAUCUCCGGGCUUAACUCGGAACGGUCAAGUGAUACUGUCGUGCUAGAGUACAGAAGGGGCAACUGGAAUUCUCGGUGUAGCGGUGAAAUGCGUAGAUAUCGAGAGGAACACCUGCGGCGAAGGCGGCUCUCUGGAACGGUACUGACGCUGAGACGCGAAAGCGUGGGGAGCGAACAGG